UCUACAGGCAUUCUCAUCUGUUUUCCAUCUGAUGGAGAGGAGCCUUUUGUUUGGCUGUAUAGCCAGAUGGAGGGGCUGACUUAUUGGGUAUCAUCUAUUACAUCUGGCACACUUGAAGAAGCUUGCCUCUAACAGAGUAGAAUGCUUUGUGAGCUAUCCCUUGUAGCAGAGAAUAAAUAAGAAGAGGGGUGGAGAGAAGAAGCAGUCCAACACAAGCUGACCAAGCUGUGUUUUAGAGGAUAUGUAAUAUUCAACACCUUUUGUCCUCUGCCUCUGCAAGAAAGGGACAGAAGUACAUUUUCUCAAUCUAUUCUUUGAGGACAACCUUGGUAUUUAUAAUUAAAUGGUA